UCUUUCUUUCUUUCUUUCUGUCUUUCUCUCUUUCUCUCUUUCUCUCUCUCUCUCUCUCUCUCUCUCUCUUUCUCCUUCCUUCCUUCCUUCCCACCUUCCUUCCUUCCUUCCUUCUUUCAAAUUCUGGUAUAGCUUUCUAGACCAUAUACCCUAGGAAAAGGCCAUUUGUGAAAACUGUGAUAAAGUCACUUAAAAAAAUCUGUAGCCUCUGGGACAAUAACCACAUUCUAUAAGUUGUUGAGUCAUUAAGCUAAUCAUAGGCAAACUCUUCUAAAUAGAUUCCAGGAUUAUUUUCAAGUGUGUGUAUACACACACACCACACACACAAAUUCCAGAGUUGGUUUUUAUUCAAAGUUCCAAUUUCAAGGAUUUUAAGUACACAUUUAUUUAAUUAAAUAGCUUACUAACACAGACUACAUGAUAUUUUACAUAUGCAUUUCUCAGUAAACUGAAAUUCUAUCAGUUUUUUGGAGAUUUUAAGUACACUACAGAAAAUGUCUAGUUAUGAGAAGACAAGAUUGCCUUAGAACUUAAGAGUGCUGAGAGCAAAAUCCAAGUCAAAUGCAUUGAUCAACUAGCUGGAGAUGCAUAAAUACUACUUAAAGUAAGAAGAUAAAGAAUAUCACACUCAGAAUAUUUCUUUCACAUUUUACUAUAUAUUUACAUACAUUUUUCUUACACCAAUACCUAGAGAUUUUAGUUAAAAGCAAGAAAAGCUACCUAAAUAAACUCAAGUUGGAAUGAUGGCUUCUACACUUGAUAAUGGGUAUUUACAGAUUAUUUUGCCUGAUUUAUUCUGUCUAUCCAGCUCUCAGUUCUUAGACAUAAAGUAAUGGGUUCCCAAUAGUAACCAAUUAAAAUCCUUAGCUUUAUAAGAUUUUGCCGUCACAAAAUAUGACGAAAACAUACAACAUUUUUGAACACAGAAAUAUAAAUAUCAGAAAGAAUUCAUGACCUCCAGCAAAACCCUAAGCAAAUGAGACAUUAACCUUCUGAAAGGGAUUGUGGUUGUAUUCUACUUUUAAUUGCCUGCAUUAAUGAAAAAGAGCACUAUGUAUUUUGUUAUUUAUGGACUCAUUUAAAUUUUUGGUUUAAAUUGUAGCAAUAAAAAAAUUUUAAAAGUGGAAGUGUCUUACAUAAUCCUGCUAUCCAAAUGCUGCCAUUAUGCUUUUUUUUUUUGUCUUUUUGCCAUUUCUUGGACCACUCCCGCGGCAUAUGGAGGUUCCCAGGCUAGGGGUCUAAUUGGAACUGUAGCUGCCAGCCUACACCAGAGCCACAGCAAUGGGGAAUCCAAGCCGCGUCUGCAACCUACACCACAGCUCACGGCAACGCCGGAUCAUUAACCCACUGAGCAAGGGCAGGGACCGAACCGCAACCUCACAGUUCCUAGUCGGAUUCGUUAACCACUGCGCCACGACGGGAACUCCCCAUUAUGCAUUUUUUUAAAAAACAAUGCCAAUUACGACAUUUUGGAGAUGCAAGAAUCCUUACUGAUAACAACACAAAAUUCAUCAAGUAUUUUAUUUUCUAGAAAUUUCGCUGCACAUUUUACAUUAUUCAAAUCUCUUGAUAACCUUAUCAGGCAGGCAGUCUUGGAACUGUCAUUUCAAAGAGGAGGAAACCAAACUUGCCCAAGUUCAGUCACUUGCCCAAGUUCAUUCACUUAUCAAGAAGUGGUAACGGGCUUUGACUAAAGCCUGACUAUUUUAUCCAGCUGAGCCCCCAGUUUUACCAACUGAAUAAAAAAAGUCUUAGAGAAGUUAAGUGAGGUUCUAGGAGUACUAGAGGUAGUGUCAGUACAGUCUUGAUUAUGAUUUGCAUGACCCUUUGGUUCACAUUUCUUAUUAACAGUCAGUGGUGGCUUUAAACCUGCUUCAUGCCCCAGGUUCAAUCAGUUUUAUCCCAUUCUGUCCCCAGUCUGUCUAUAUCAGGGGCUCUUCACUUUUCCUGAGAAAAUACUGGAGCCUUUAAAAAUGAUAGAUACUUGGGUCAAAACCCCAGAUUUUUAGAUUCAACUGAUCAGAGGUGCAGCAUGGGAUAAAAGCUUUCUAGGUGAUUUAAUGUGUAGCUAGUGUUGAGAAGCACUGGUCUAUACAAAGACUAUCUGGUUAUCGACCGCUUUGUAUGUAUUCCAAAAUUCUUUGGAUUUUUUUUCACCUUCUAGCAUUUCUGUCAUGUGGUUAAAGUAUUUUCAUGAUUUGUAUACCUAAAGGAACAAAUAAACAUAAAUACAUCACUCAGCUACAUCUUUGGACAAAUAACAUGUUUGAAAAAAGAGUAAAUAGAGCAUUAGGUUGAAUUGGAGUAUUGAGUUUCAAGCACUGGUCAUGCACCUAAUUAUACUAAAUGUAAUUUAAUCUCUGAUAUAGCUUUCCUCUUCUAGUGCUUAUGUCAGUUAAGGAAAUGUGGUCUCAUUUAAGUAUGUCACUUAGGUAAUUUGCAAUUUGAAGCCAAGACACUGUGGGUCUAUGGGUUUAUAGGAAACAGACCAGCACGGGCAAGGUUACAUGCUCUAGCAUUGCUUUUAUAUUAUUCGAAUGAACCACGUAAUUUGUAUUUGUACUUGUGUCUGAUUUAGAAUGAAAUUAAGAACCAGAACUAACCCCCACCAUUAAAUUUUCAGAUGAGUGAGAAGUCUGUCCAUUCCGCAAGCUGUGCUUACCUGUGCAAAGGGAGUCACAAUCAGGUCAUCUCCAUGUCUGCAAAACAAAAAUCCCACGUUAGGCGACACUGAUCACUUGAGGACCACUUUCAAGCAAUAUUAAAUCUCACAGGGAUGAAGAUGUGUCUUCUGGGAUGCUAACCAUUGUCCAGUUCCCUGGGUGAAAAGAGGGGCUUCUUGAUCAUCAACCAAGGUCACUGCCACUUGUUAAGCACACAGGAUACACAACAGAAGAAAUGGAAUUCCAGCAGCACAGCCUCAGUUUCACCCUUGGCUGCUUAUGGUAGGUAUUACUGAGGGGCACAAGGGAAGGAGCCAGCAACAGCAGUGGCUGUGGUGAGAGGUCGCUGGACCAUCUACCAUUGGGAGGUGAUGAGCAUCCGGUGUUCUGCAUCAUGGGGUGCGAGUCUUGGACGGGCUCGGAUCUGUAGAUGACAUGGGACUGCAUCAUACGCUAAUAAAAACCCAGCGAAACUUUUCAAAUGACUCACAAUCCCAGCCGCCGGAGUUAUGGGAGAAUGUUACCCCAUGUGUGCUGUUGCUGGGGCAACCUCUGCUACACCAUGCAGAGGAUGCAGGAGCAAGGUGUCAGCAUGACGUGUCUCAAAGGGGCUGGGAAAAGCAACGAAAGUUGUGCAACGUUCCACUUGGAAGAAAGUGAGAAACUUGGGCCCAGAAUUCUUUCGUGGUAUUUUUUUAGUAUGAAUAGUUUGUGAGAGGAUUUCCAAAAUCUCCACAUGCUAUUUCUCAUCUAGCUGGUUGGAACUCUUUCAUUAAAAGUGAAUGGAAUUAUUCUACACAGAAAGCUUUCGGACAUGACAUUGAGAACACUGCAACUGAACUGUUCACUCACUCGUGAACAAUUCUGGAAAGGGCCUGAGUGACCUAAAACAACACUCAUGAAAUAUGCUUCAGCACAAAGCAGCCUAUGGAUGACGUUAGUAGACGGAUUGUUACAAAUAAUUAGACCAGUCAUUACGGUCAUAAUCAAAUUACACAGGGAAUCUUUGAAAUUCAAAGUGUGGGAAAAUGAAAAGCAGAAAAAGGGCAGAACAUACUUUAAAGGGUGGUUUUUUCUGCACCCUUUUUGUUCCAGAAUUACUUUCUUUGAAAGGUGCCUGUUCUUUGGAGAGAUUAUUUCGAGAACAAAAAUUUAAUACAAAAUCUAGGUAUUUUCACAAGGCAUAGUUUGUCUUUCCAUUUUAUUCUUUAAAAUGUCUGACUACAAAAUUUAUGUCCUAAGAACUUAAGUUAUCUUGACCAAAGCACUGCAUCACUCUGAAAUUAAUCCCUGGAAAUAAGUCUCUUAAUUUUUCACAUGGAUUACACUGGAUCUGGAUCUCUCUACACUGAAAAGUAUGUGAGUGUUUAUUAAAACACUCAAGUGUAUCUUUGGUUGUAUUUCAUUCCCAAGUACUGUAAAAGAUAUAUUUAGAACAUACAAUAUUUACGAUAAUUUAUCGGUCUUGCUUCAUUUCCUCAUCAAAGCAUAAAGAAAGUCAGUUGUAGUUUUAGUGAUGGAGAUAAUUCUUUGGACUUUCCCGGAAAUUGUUUUUGCCAAAUAGCUCAAGAUUGUUUCAUUUUCAUCACAGUGGAAUUAUUCCCAGCAUUUCAGUGGUAAAUGUCCUCAAAAAAUAGCCUAUCCUUUUCUUCUCAAAAUUAAGUGAGGCUUGUUCACUGUGGCACUAUUUGCAAGGAAAUAGUGGAAAGACAUGGAAACUACCUAAAUGUCCAUUGACAGAGGAGUGGAUCAAGAAGAUGUGGUACACAAUGGAAUAUUACUCAGCCAUUAAAAAGAACGAAAUACCAGCAUUUUUUGGCAACAUGGAUGGACCUAGAAAUUAUUACACUAAGUGAAGUCAGCCAUACAACGAGACACCAACAUCAAAUGCUUUCACUGACAUGUGGAAUUUGAAAAAAAGACAGACUGAACUUCUUUGCAGAACAGAUGCUGACUCACAGACAUUGAAAAACGCCUUAUGGUCUCUGGAGGAGAGAGUUUGGGGGGUGGGAGGAUGUGGUUGGGUUAUGGGAUUGAAAUCCUGUGAAAUUGGAUUGUUAAAAUCAUUAUAUAACUACAGAUGUGAUAAAUUCAUUUGAGUAAUAAAAAAAUUAAA